rnacentral:rRNA from 1 species
UACAUGCAAGUCAACUGAAGCACCGGGUAGUAAUACUGGGUGUGGAGGUGGCGCACGGUGAGUAACACGUAGGUAAUCUGCCUUCAGGUCUGACAUAACCCCGAGAAAUCGGGGCUAAUAGCAGAUGAUGCAGCGGCUUGACAUCAAUACAGUUGUUAAAGCUUCGGCGCCUGAAGAUGAGCCUGCGUCUGAUUAGCUAGUUGGCGGAGUAAUGGCCCACAAGGCUACGAUCAGUAACUGGUCUGAGAGGAUGAUCAGUCACACUGGAACUGAGACACGGUCCAGACUCCUACGGGAGGCAGCAGUAGGAAUAUUGCUCAAUGGGAGAAAUCCUGAAGCAGCAACGCCGCGUGAGGGAUGAAGGGCUUUUGCUCGUAAACCUCUGUAGUGAGGGAAAAAAUUUCCACUCUGUGGAAUAUGAUGGUACCUCAAAAGUAAGCCCCGGCUAACUACGUG